rnacentral:rRNA from 1 species
GACGAACGCUGGCGGCGUGCUUAACACAUGCAAGUCGAACGAGAAAGCCCUUCGGGGUGAGUACAGUGGCGCACGGGUGAGUAACACGUAGGUAACCUAGCGAGCAGUGGGGGACAACCCGGAGAAAUUCGGGCUAAUACCGCAUACGCAAGUAAUUGGAAAGAAUGCCUCUCCUUGGAAGCAUUCACUGUUCGAUGGGCCUGCGAGACAUUAGCUUGAUGGUGGGGUAACGGCCCACCUUGGCGACGAUGUCUAGCGGAUCUGAGAGGAUGAUCCGCCACACUGGAACUGAGACACGGUCCAG